rnacentral:lncRNA from 1 species
AUUGUUUUUGUUCUGAUUAUUAUUAGGUCUUUCCACUUUUCUGUGGAAAGCCUAUUGUAUUUGUUCUGAUUAUUAUUAUUAGGUCUUUCCACUUUUCUGUGGAAAGACCUAUUGUUUUUCUUCUGAUUAUUAUUUUUUUUUUUUUUCUUCCGCCUAAUUUUGUUCUUGCGAUAAACAUUUGUUUCGCAAUAUGUCGCUUAGAUAUUUUGGUAUAUGAUAUCGAACAGUUUAUGCGCUUUUGAAAUUUACCCUGCGUAAACGAAUACUUUUCUUUGUAGGAGUUAUCUCCCCAAACACUGUUUUCCUUGUUAGCGCAUCUCCUUCGCAACCGUAAAAGAUUAUGACAAAUUUAUUUUACAAAAUUGCUCGUU